UACGUAGGGGGCGAGCGUUGUCCGGAGUUACUGGGCGUAAAGCGCACGCAGGCGGUCUGCUAAGUUUGGAGUGACAGUUGGUGGCUUAACUGCCAAAGUGCUUCGAAAACUGACAGACUUGAGGGCUUCAGAGGGACACGGAAUUCCGGGUGGAGUGGUGAAAUGCGUAGAGAUCGGGAGGAACAUCCAUGGCGAAGGCAGCUACCUGGACCAACACUGACACUGAGGCACGAAAGCGUGGGGAGCAAACAGG
rnacentral:rRNA from 1 species